AUGAUGUUGGAGCGUGUUUGGGUUGAUGAAAUCAUCCGCCUCCUGUGGCGGGGUGAGGGUGCACAGUGUGUGAGUGGGCAUAAUGAAGGGGCCGGGGACAAGAUUCCAUGGGGAGUGAUGGGUAAUGUCCUAUCUGUGUCCUCAGUGCUCACUGGAGAUACAGAAUUACCAUGGUCUAAACAUCAGAUGGGUCGAGAAGUCCUCAGAAUGAAAUACAGCAGGUAAGAAAAUUUUCCGGCAGCUGUAAGAGUAGAUGUGUGUGCAUAUACGUGGGAUUUAUAUGCUGGAACACGGGGAUGGAUAAAGAGAGAAAAAGACGUAAAAUAUGGCAGACGAAGGUGUAACAAUCUAUACACUAGAGUGGAAGAAUGGGACAUGAGGGAGAGGUUUGUGGAGGGUACAUUUCCUGUACAUAGCUCUAGCAGAUGGCUCUCACGGGUCUGAUAUGUACGAUGACAGCUAAUAACCCAUGAUAUAGAGCCUCAUUCCAGCCCAGCAGGUCGGCUUCAGCAUUCAGUUGAAGCUGGUGGCUCACUUAAACGAUAAACACUGUGGAAGUUACCUUCAGUUCCCAGUCUGAUGUGUAAAUGAAAACCCUCACUCAACAUCAAAGUGACAGGAGCCACAAUCGUCCGUUUCCACCACUAAACGGCGUACACACGGUCACACACCCCACUAAGUCCCAAUAGAUCACCCUCAACCACGAGAGUAUCCAUCAUUUUUGCAGCACAAGGCAAACUGUGCCAAAACAGUGAAGGGCAAGACAUAAUGGUUGGCAGUAGUAUAGCCAAAUGGUUCAAGAAUUGAGAGGGUAAAUGAAAAAUCAACACUUGACAGGGUGCUAUUGUCACUGGGCUCUCGAGUAAGACAACUAGGGCCAGUUUUAAUAAACAGGGCAAAUUAGUGCA
ensembl:lncRNA